AGAGCGGUCCCACCCGCUGCGCCCAGAACGGAGCCCGCGUUUCCGCAGAGCUGGAGCUCCCGGCUCGGGGUCUCUUCCCUCCGCCUUCACGGAACUGCCCCGGAGCCCGCGGCGAGGGCGGCCUCACUGACGCUGCCGGCUCUGGAGGGGCCCCGGAGGCCGAAGCCGCGACAGUCGUGCGGACGGCGGGCCGGGUACAAAACAAAGAAUCGCUUUGCACAAAGCCAGAAGGGAUACACUGAAAGAAUGAUCAGAAAAGAAUAAUACAUAGGUACAAAACAAAGAAUCGCUUUGCACAAAGCCAGAAGGGAUACACUGAAAGAAUGAUCAGAAAAGAAUAAUACAUAGCAGGCCACCGCUAGGCCUCUCACCUGAGAAGUCCAGAAUCGGGAAGACACAGGCUGUAUCAGUUGCACUGCGGCCUUAUUCACAAUAGCCAAGAUGGUGAAGCAACCCAAAUGUCCAUCAACAGGUGAAUGGAUAAAGAAGGAGAGGUACAUGUACACAAUGGAAUAUUCACCAUGGAGAACAAUGAAUUACUGCUCUUUGAGGCACCACAGAUGAGCCUAGAGAUAAUCGUGGAACAUGAGAAACAAAAACGGCUUGGAAAAAUGAUGAAUUUUAGGUAUUUGUAAAGACACGCAAACCCAAAUUACAAAAACCUAUCAGCUCACAGCAGUCAGAAUGGCCAUUAGCAAAAAUGCUGCAAGCAGUAAAUGCUGAAGCAAUUGUGGAGAAGUGCGUACCCUCUGUUCUAAGGGGGAUGUGGUAAGGGCCACUAAUGAAAACACAAUGGAGGUGCUUUGAAAAGGGAAACAUUGCGCUACCAGGCAAUCAGUCAUACCCACUGCUGGACCUGUCACCUGAGAAAAUGAGAAUCAAAACCUCACAGACUGGCAAUUCUGCACUCCAGCAAUACUUACCAUAGCCAACACUUGGAAGCAACGAAAAUGUCCAUCAACAGAGGAGUGUACCAAGAAGCAGUGGUCCAUGUACACAAUGGAAUAUUACUCCAAUAAAAAGUUUAAAUUAAAUUUAAAAACAAACAUAAGUAAGGAGACGUAAGCAUUUGGGGGUUUACCUGGGCACAUUCCUCUCUAAUUUAUAACCGAGGAACACCACUGGCAGGAAGGUCUG